GAUGUAUACUCGCGGUUUGCGAUAGAGUGUAAGCCGCCAAGCGAAAGCAUUAAGUAUACCACCUGGGGAGUACGCCGGCAACGGUGAAACUCAAAGGAAUUGACGGGGGCCCGCACAAGCGGAGGAACAUGUGGUUUAAUCUUGAUGAUACCGCGAGGAACCUUAGCCCGGGCUUGAAACUAAGAGUGACGAAUCUAGAGAUAGAUUUUUCUUCGGACAGCUGUUGGAGGUGCUGCAUGGUUGUCGUCAGCUCGUGCCGUGAGGUGUCGGCUUAAGUGCCAUAACGAGCGCAACCCUUUUCCUUGGUUGCCAUCAGGUAAUGCUGGGCACUCUAGCGAGACUGCCGGUAAUAAACCGGAGGAAGGUGGGGAUGACGUCAAAUCAUCAUGCCCCUUAUGACCUGGGCUACACACGUGCUACAAUGGCUGGUACAACGAGUCGCAAGCCGGUGACGGCAAGCUAAUCUCUUAAAGCCAGUCUCAGUUCGGAUUGGAGUCUGCAACCCGACUCCAUGAAGCUGGAUUCGCUAGUAAUCGCGCAUCAGCCAUGGCGCGGUGAUAUACGUUCCCGGGCCUUGUACACACCGCCCGUCACACCACGAGAGUUUGUAACACCCGAAGUCGGUGAGGUAACCGUAAGGAGCCAGCCGCCUAAGGUGGGAUAGCACUGAUUGGGGUGAAGUCGUAACAAGGUAGCCGUAUCGGAGAGGUGCGGCUGGAACACCUCUCUUC
rnacentral:rRNA from 1 species